rnacentral:rRNA from 1 species
CAGCACCUCAAGUGGUCAGGAUGAUUAUUGGGCCUAAAGCAUCCGUAGCUUGCUUUGUUAGUUUUCGGUUAAAUCCAUACGCUCAACGUACAGGCUGCCGGGAAUACUGCAGCGCUAGGGAGUGGGAGAGGUAGACGGUACUCGGUAGGAAGGGGUAAAAUCCUUUGAUCUAUUGAUGACCACCUGUGGCGAAGGCGGUCUACCAGAACACGUCCGACGGUGAGGGAUGAAAGCUGGGGGAGCAAACCGGAUUAGAUACCCGAGUAGUCC